rnacentral:lncRNA from 1 species
UGGGAGCUUAAAGAUCGGUGAUGCCUUCGCAGGAUGCAAGCAAAAGAAUGAGUUCCCCGGGUUACCAGUUGUUAAGGCUUUCGUUCGAGCCCAUCAAGCACAGGUUCUUCUCUCUCCGGCUUUCCUCUUUCUAUUGGUUGAGCUUACUAAGCUUUCGCGGGCCUCUCCCUUUGAGCCAGCUAGCUAGACGGGAAGAAUACGAAGCACCUAAAGGAUAAUUUGCUGUCUUUCUGGUCAGGCAAACAAGCUUACCUUAUUAUUAUUCAAAGGGGAAAAGGCUUUUUUUAUAGAUUCAGAGGUGAGUAAGGGGGGCGGAGCUAUGAAGCAUCUUAGAGUAUUCCAUUCCGUUUUUCAGCUGGAUCCGGGCCUUGCUAUUGUUCGGCCUGAAACAACUGUAUUUAGUAGAGAGAGAGGGGCUUUUUGCGAAAGGCUAUCAACGUAAACGUAUAUCGAUAUAGUGAGUGUGCGUGCAGGGUGUAGGUGUACCACUUACGAGAAAGAACCCCAAGUCAAUAAAGUAGUUAACCAAACAAAAGUAAGUAGUUCGUCAUCUUCCGACGCCUCCCGUUCAUUCUUCUUCAUUUCAUCAUGUUUGUUGCCGUUCAUAGGUCCCAAGCCCCUCUUAGAAAGCCCUCCUCCCUCUCCAAAAGUAAAAAAAAAAAAGAAUGUUGCUUGAUUGAACGAAGAUUGUAAUAACCUUUCUAACUGACACCCCAGUCAUAAUGCCACCCACGUCUUUUUUUUUUUCUUUUGAACAGGCCAACAUUUUUUGUCGUUUUGACAUAAUAACUGGCAGGUUUCAUUAAUGAAAAGAAGGAGGCCCGCCAUCUGCUAGCAUUGUGGUUUGGAAUCGAUUCUUUGUCAAUGGCCAACCCUUUCUUUGAACCUUGUCAAUGAUCAAACUUAAAGAUAUGAACUGAGUGCCAUUUGAUGAGUAACUGAGAACAAGGGAGAGGGAUAUAGAAAGGAUGAAGUAAUGAAAGAGGAAGUCAUUGCUAGUAGUAACGACUUGUCACGAUCCAUUGGUUCAUAUAGAAUCCAUGUCCUAGGUGUAUCAAAAAACAUUCUUUUCGCGAAGCGUAUAUAAUAAAAUAGAGUGAAAGGGUCCACCCCGAAUCCAAGGGGGUACUAACUAACAGCUGAGUCCUCUCCGAACCGCAGGAGAUAGUUGCCCAUCAUACGGCUCACCAACUUCACUUGCCUCUAUGGGGGGCUCACUCCGGGCAGGUUCGGAUCACUUACAAUACACGGCUCUACGAAGGAAGGGGUUGGGUUAGGAGCGUUUUCAAUAUUCUUCUUUUCCAUAAAUGCGAGACGAAAAAGGAACCCUCGACUGGGAAAUGCGAGUCUUUUUUGUCCACUUUCUCCAUCCCCCUCUAUCAAAAUGAUCAAAAAGGAAGGCGAGCUUGCUUCUUAUUCCCGUGAUCGAUCUCUUCCAUCUCUGCCCUGCUCGUUGUCACCUAUGUUGAAGAAAGGUUUGGAACCCUGUAGAGAAUGAAGAGGGGCCAAGGAUCUUCCUCUCAACAGUGCUUCUCGAGGCUCCACUCUCCCCCCUGAAUAAGGAAGGCCCCGUUAGCCUGGGCGAAGAUGGGGAUAAGGAGUAAGGAUUGAAGCCCCUUUAGCUCUGCCAGGCACUGGACAGGGGUUAGCUCUGUAAAUGUGUAGAGCCAAGUGUAGUGUGGUGUAGUAGUAGGCACUUCUAGGCCCCUUCCCGGCUACUGGAUCACUCCAGUGCUUUGGGUACUACGGACCCUCUGCCAUCCAUUGCAGCAGAGCCGUUUCAUGAGCGGGGGGGCUAAGCGCAGUUCUUUGAAUCAAACGUUGAAUGAAAUCUAUUGUUUUUUAGAUAUCAAAAUCUAAAUCGGAUAGGAUAGAUGGAUGGAUCUAUCUUUCUAUUCAUAUAUAUUACUAAAGAAAAUGGAUUUAUAUAGUUAAGUAGCGUAGCAAGAAGCCCCAAAUCCUUGAUUUGGCCAGGAAAGACUGCACUGCUUUGGGCCCAGGAAGCGAAGGGAAUGAGCCCUACUGAUCUACGACCACCCUCCACACUUCUUUAUUUUUUUUCCGUGCCCGUUCCGCAUGCGCUUCGCGCGCCAUUGGCGCUUUGCUCUCCUCUUAUUCUUCAUUGGACGGUUCGGAUGGACUUCGCCGUUCUUUCCCAACUCAAAUAGAAAAGGCUGUAUCACAUCGAGAUGCCGAUUCGUUUUCCUCCCCUAAUGAGAUGGGGAAUUUUUAACCCCCUAUUUAUACUUUUUGGCCCUUCAUCUUUUUGAAUCGGGGCCCGGCCCGGCUCGCGUCGUUCCAACAACCGGCGGGGAGCACCUCAGUAUACGAUCGCGCGCAGUAACUGGGAGUCCUAUUACACCUAAGGCCAACUUCAAUUCACCAAACCAAGGUUCAUCUCGUGUAGUGAUUGUGGACUCGUACAAGGAUAUUGAGUAGACGGUUGAUGUAUUAGACUCGACCCUAUGUUUCGUAGCAUGCAUUCCCAUCCGUGUCGCAACUGAUUCGGUAAGCUACGUGUCCGGUGCACGGAGAACUGCCCUGCCUCCGGUCCCCCAAAAUGACUCGUGGCAACCUUCCGACCGCCCAACGACCUAUAACGCUAGUCACUACUCCCACUGGGGCUAGGAAGUAAGCCCCACAACCCAAAGCGGCGAAGAACAAAUAGAAUUUGCUACAAAAGCCGGCUAACGGGGGUAUUCCUGCGUAUGAGAACAUAGUAAUGGAGAAGGUAAUAGCCGAAAUAGGAUUCGUUUUGGCUAGAGCGCCCAAAUCCGCUAUAUAUUUGACACAGGUUUGCUGUAAUGCUAAAACUAUGGCGAAUGCAUCUAUCGUCAUUGAUGCAUAAAUAAAGAUACCAAUUAGUAGUGAUUGAAUUCCUUCUAUGGUUCCACAUGAUAAACCAGUACGAAUAUAACCUACAUGUCCAAUUGAACUAUGAGCUAGAGGUCUUUUUACUUUCGUUUGGGCCAUGGCGGCCAGUGCUCCUAAGAUCAUAGAAGCAAUGCUGCAGAAAAAGAAGAUUUGUUGCAAUGUAGCUCCAUAGGAACCAUAAAUAGAAACACGUGAAAUAUUAGCAGAAAUAGAGAUUUUAGGCGCAAUAAAAAGGAAUGCUGUAACCGGGGUGGGUGAACCCUCAUAGAUAUCAGGUGCCCACAUAUAUAAAGUCAAAAGAGAUAUGGAGUCCGAAGGGGAGGGGGCUUUUCUUCGGGGCUCGAGAGAUGGAAUAGAUAGGGCCCCACAAGUUUUUAAUUCGUCGCUGUAGAAUUCACACGAAAGGGAACGAGGAAUUCUCAACGAAAAAAGUGCUCUCUGAACCGAACGUGAAAAUCGUUUUCCAUCAGACGGCUGUUCCCGUAACUCCACUCUCGACUUGGAUUAUAUAUCCAAAAAGGUCCGCUCUCGGCCAUUCCACACGCUGCCUAGCAGAGGCGUGGUUAUCUGAAGUGGAUUCUCUCUUUUAUAGUAGAUGCCGAACCUGCUGCCCCAUUGACUAAGAAGGGGGCGGGCGCAGCAGCUACAUGGACCCCUUCCUUUCUGUUGUUGCCAGCGCUUUCCCGGGCCGAGCCGGAAUUCUUUAUUAUAAAGGGCAGGCAAAGCCCGAAGGCAGCUAUCCCAAUAGGCCAGCGGGCGGAACGAGGAGAGGGCCCGACAAUCAUACCACCGCGGUCGAAAAAGCGUGUUCCCUUCAGAUAACACGCACCGUAGGCCAUCCUCGGCCUUCUUCGUUUUCGAUGAAAAACAAAUAAAAUGAUCUACGACCACUUCUUAUCAAAGAUCAGCCUGCCUAAGAUCGUAGGGGAGCACCCUGAUCGUUCCGACUAGCCUGAUCGUAGAUCACCCUCAUCACUUCAAUGAAAGCGCAAACCAAUUUAUUUCUUAGUCACCAGGCGGAGCGCACCUUUGGUACUUCAGUAGGGCGAGCUGUUUGAUAGUGACUUCUUUCGUUUGGUAGGGCGACGAAAGGCUACUUCAAUCUAGGAAACAGCCGGAAACUCGAGAAACUUUGGAAGCGUUUGCCGGGCAUCAUUCCUUCCUUUUGAUUAUGUCGUGACGCUGACUGAAUCCAAUCCAUAAACCCGGAAACGAAACUAAGUUCGUUCCCUUUCGUCAAGUAGGUAAAGUAGGCAUACGAACCACUUUAGCUUUGCCUUAGACUCUAUUGGAACAAAGCAAAGAAGGAGGCGGAAUGGAGAAAGGAAAGGGACAAGGGCGGUCUUGCUUGGCGCGAAGGCUGCUAGUUCGAGGGUAGGGUACGGUACUAAAGGUCCUCGGACUUCCAGGCGGUUUUUCUUUUGGGCAGCUGUUCACCGUUGGAUCUCGCCAAUACAACCCCCUAUAGUUUUCGUUACCGAGAUAUCUUUUUUUUUCAUUGUUCCCAGGGAUUUUUUGGGUAAUCCGCUCCCAUGCUGCAAACAGUCAAAUCUGAACUGAACCUUGUCGCUCUUCUUUCCUCGCGGGCAGGAAGCACACCAGCAGCGUGCGUUGCGUGAUUCUACUGUGUUUUUUGCACUUGACUAGGUGGACAGUUGACCGGAAGAGAACUUCGAUUCGCCCGGCCAGCAGGCGGGCGGCGUGCUUAUCUUGUGUGACAACACUACAGAGCGAGUGGCUCUUCUAGGCAGGCAGCUGUGUGACAACACUACAGAGAAAGCGGCGCUUUCGUGUAACAUGCUAUGGUCUCAACGCCCUUACGAGGUAGUGAUGAGUUUCACGCGCUCUAAGCCUAGCCCGCGCGCGGUUAGGAAGAUUGGCCGCAAUCUAAGCGGUACCACCCACCCUACCCUACCACCUAUAGGCGGCCGUCCGUCCUACAGCCGCCCGAAAAGGAACUGCAGUGAUCUUCAAUAGGAAUCCUACAGGGAUAGAGAGAAUCCCCAUAAAAAGACCACUAGAUCGAGCACCAGUGAUUUCGUAUCCGGUCAAAAUCUUGGCUAAUUGAUCGAAGUGGGUAGCUCCAGUAGACCCAUAGAUCAUGGAACAAAUAGGGUGGGUAGGCCCAACUCUCACACUAUAGGUAUAGACGCGAACCCCCCUCGUUACCGUACGUGCGACUCUCACCGCAUACGGAUCGCACAAAGACUCCUAAAUCCAUCCCGUUCCUGAUCUUCGACCACCCUCUCCUCUCCAAUCAAUCCUCGAUCAAACUUACGUUCCCCAGGUGCUAUGAAAUGGGGGGUCUUUCCUUCGCCUAUCGUAUGUAUCGGCUUGGCUUCGUCUCCAGAACCAAGGAGGCAUUUUGGCGGGCGCGUGCGUGUAGGAAGGCCGACCACUACAUAAGCUAAAAGACUACGACUACAAGCCAAGCCGGAAGCGACUUGCUUCUAUUCUCGUUGGGAUUGGAUAUAGAUAGAUGGGGAAUCUAUAGAUCGUAGUAGUUCGCCAACCUCUCUAACUAACAUACGAUACAAUUGAACUUCACGGCACGACCAAAAAAAAAGAAAGAGCUUCGCUCGGUUGGCCUUCCUACGCUGACGAAUGCCUCCUUUCUCUUCUCUGAAGUCUACAACAAACAAG